CCGCCAUCUUUGUUCUCGAAAUGGACCUCCACCGAUGCCGCAACAUCUGCAAUGAUAAAAGCCAUGUCCCCUAUAUUAAACAUUUCCAACGAUGUAACAUGAUUGAUGAUGAAAAAGCAUGAGUAGUAUCUACCGCAUCCUACGUUGGUAAGGUUCUACGAAUAAGGGUUAAAUUUGCAUUCCGAGAAGAACGAUGCUCAGGAUCAAGGGGUUAUACAUCGAGACGCUGUUCUUGUAAACCAAGCGCAUCAGCAAUUUCGUUCCGCUUCGGCAGACAUUUAGAAAUGCUUUUCCGCUUUCGUGAAUAUUGAUUCUCAGACACGGAGAUAUAGAUCAUCGAAAUAAACUAUUCUGAAUAAUGAUUUUCAUUGAAAUUUUAUGGAUCACGGUUAUAUCCAUUAUUCGUUUAUAUAUUAAUCGCGUGUUAACAAUUUUCUACCUUCUUCUUAUAUAAAUCAUUAUACGAUCUCAAAGGAAAUAUUUCUCUGUCAAGUUUUACGAUUUUAGUAGAACUGGAGUUCGGUCUCGUAAAAUUUUUCAUUUUCAGCAGCCGCAAUAAAGGUAUCACGUUGGUCUCGCUGUAAGCUUCCUCGCUCAACUGCAAAGGUAGCGAGAGAGAAAGAGAGAGAGAGAGAGAGAGAGAGAGAGAGAGAGAGAGAGAGAGAGAGAGAUAUUGAAUUCGAAACUUAAGCUUCAUCGUGCUCUAGCGACUCGAUUAAUCUUAAGACACGUGUGCCUGAAACGUAACUAUACCUAAGCUUUGAAAAGAAAUACGGGUCUAUUCAUAGUACGCUUAGUAGUGACCGGAACCUAGUUCCUGACUUAUAACUAACGAUCGAUCCGAGAAGAUUGCCUUGUUCGAUCGAUGCACAUCGAUCUAUACGAUAGCCAGAUACUUUAUUAUAGGG